GGUGGCUCAAUGCUGGAAGAUUACUCAUGGGAAUUGGAGCUGGACUUCAUUGCUAUGUGGCACCAAUAUAUGUAGCAGAAAUAACACCUAAGAAUAUCCGAGGUGGAUCUACAGCUGCUGUCACGGUAAAAUAAAAUAAAGCAUAGCUGGGUGUUACUGAAUUCGAACCUUUUUAUGUGGUGAAAUAUAUUGCUGAAUUUGCAGUUUACUGUGUCUUGUGCCUUUUCCGUAAUGUUCUUUACUGGGAACUUCUUCACUUGGCGCAAGUUGGCUGUAAUUGGAUCUAUUCCUUGCUUCAUUCAUGUGGUCUGCAUUUUCUUCAUUCCAGAAUCCCCAAGGUGGC
rnacentral:misc_RNA from 1 species